AACGUAGGUCACAAGCGUUGUCCGGAAUUACUGGGUGUAAAGGGAGCGCAGGCGGGCGAUCAAGUUGGAAGUGAAAUCCAUGGGCUCAACCCAUGAACUGCUUUCAAAACUGGUCGUCUUGAGUAGUGCAGAGGUAGGCGGAAUUCCCGGUGUAGCGGUGGAAUGCGUAGAUAUCGGGGGGAACACCAGUGGCGAAGGCGGCCUACUGGGCACCAACUGACGCUGAGGCUCGAAAGUGUGGGUAGCAAACAGG
rnacentral:rRNA from 1 species